GACAGUUUGGCCGAGUGGUUAAGGCGAGAGGUUGCUACCUUCUUGUGCUAGCACGCAUGGGUUCGAAUCCUAUAGCUGUCA